rnacentral:rRNA from 1 species
UACAGGGGGUGCAAACGUUGCUCGGAAUCAUUGGGCGUAAAGCGCACGUAGGCGGUUUGUUAUGUCGGAUGUGAAAGCCCUCGGCUUAACCGGGGAAGUGCAUCCGAAACUGACAAGCUAGAGUACUAAAGAGGGUCGCGGAAUUCCCGGUGUAGAGGUGAAAUUCGUAGAUAUCGGGAGGAACACCGGUGGCGAAGGCGGCGACCUGGGUAGAUACUGACGCUGAGGUGCGAAAGCGUGGGGAGCAAACAGG